rfam:Dipodomys ordii contig_51433, whole genome shotgun sequence.
GGUGGCUCAGUGGUAGAGUGCUUGCCUUGCAUGCAUGAGGCCGUGGGUUUGAUUCCUCAGCACCA